CCCACAUUUGUUGCUCUUAAAUCGGGUGGAACGCGCUGUUCUAUGGGACAAAUAAUUUGAAUUAUUUGAAUUAUUUUAUUUGUACGAAUAAUUUGAAUUUUUCUUAAAGGUGAAUUAGUUGUGGUCACCGACCACAAAGAGAAGUGGGUUUGUUGUAUCAUUGGUUCCUCAUAACAUUUAUCUGUACUCAAAUGAACUGAUCAUCAUUGCAGAUGACAGUAAUCUCCAAUCUUUUGUGCCAUGAAUUUUCUUGUUCGUUAGAACUGCUUUUUAGACUUGUAAGCUGUAACAAUGGAUAUUUUUCUCGUUUUGGUUUCAAAGAAAAUCUAUUGUUUCGAACUCUGGCUCACAACAACCUUUUUUGCUAUAUUUGGCAAAACCUGUGUGCUGAAAUUUUGGGUUUUUUUGGCUUGCAGAAAAAGAAAUAUUGAGUUUUUUUUUCUUUGUUACAUUUGAGGAAUCGAUUAUUUGACCUAUCUUUAAUUCUAAUAUAUUACUUGAUAGAAUAUAGAAAUUGAUGUAUAGGAUGAUGACAUGUGUAAUUAGAUUAGAAGAUGUGUUAGUUAAGGCAGUUAGCCUUGUUGUUAGAAGUGUAUAAAUAUCUCAACCUCUUGUAUUACUUGGUGAUUAAGAAAUAUAUCAAGAACAUUCAUUCUCUCUCUCUUCUCUCUGAAUUGUUAUCUCUCUCUAGAAUUUCUGUAUACAAUAGAAACAGAAGGGGCUGGACCCCAAAGGUCACUAUGAACUAUAGCAAAGGGUUUUACAGACUUAUUGGGACUUAGAGGAAAAGGAAGUUUACAAAAUUUUCCCUCCAAACAACUAGAACACAUGACAGGUAAGGAUAGUUUGGGACAGGGAAUAUGAGCUUGUUUUAACAUCAAAGAAACAAUAGAAUUGGAUGGAUGGCCUAGUCUAUUGUGCCAAGUAGUAGAGUGAAUGUGCUGAUCGAGAAGAGCUUUAGCUUGGAACGGUACUGAGGUGGAUCCAUGAGAAGUGGUUGAAAGACAGGGAAUUGGGUAUAGACCAUUACUGCAUACUCCUUUGUAAAUGAUCCUCCCUAUGGCCUUGUCCUGAAUCCAGAAGCAAAAAGCAUCAAAAAUUAGCCAGCAAUUGUUAUCCAAACAGAUCCGAUGCACAGAUAAUAAGUUUUGGGUUAACUUCGGAACAUAUAACACAGAAUUGAGCUUCAUUGGAGGAACAUAAUUAACGUUGGAAAGAUUAAGAACAGUACUGCCAAUAUGAGAUACAAGCAAACCUUCACCAUUGGCAGUUUGGACAAUCUCAGAAGUAGGAUAUGGAGAUGCCAGAGAUAAGUUGCUGAGAUCAGAAGUCAUGUGAUUGGUAGCACCAGAGUCAGUGAGCCACACUUGAGGAUUAGAGUGAGAAUGAGAUGCCACGCAAGGAGACUGAGGCAUCACAGUAUGCAUAGCUUGAGGAGAGAAUUGGUGUCCAUUCAUGGCAGAGUGCUGACUAGAAACAUUGUAACCGGGAGCACCAAAGCUUGAGGAAUGCAGCUGAGACGGAUAAAACUGACUGGGAGCACCAAUAAAAUUAGGGCCUUUGUCAUUAUAAAAACAAUACCAUGUGGUGUGAUUGUGCUUGCCACAGAUUUGACAAUUAACUCUGUCAGAAGGUUUAGAACGGCAGAAUGGUGCGGUGUGUCCUUCAGCAUUACAAAGUUGACAGGUUUGCACCAAGGAAACACUUGAAUGGCCAUAAGACUGCACUGGGGAGUGACCAAGGAUGCCCGGAUUCGGUGUUGGUAGCACAUGUGCAGAAUUGGACUGGAUCCAGCAACUCUUAGUAUUCUUGCAGGUUCCUUUAUUCUCUCCACCUGUGUUGUUUUGUGAUAAUCUGUCUGCCAUUGCGUUGUCUUUUAAUCCCGUUCAACAUCAACGCACUAAACACAUUGAGAUUGAUGUUCAUUUUGUGCGGGAACGAGUGGCAAAGAAGCACCUCUCUGUGCAGUUUGUGUCGUCCAAAUAGCAGUUUGCUGACAUUCUGACUAAAGGCUUGAGUUCUCCUUUAUUUCAUAUUCACUGUUCCAAUCUCAUGCUUCGUGCCUCCCAGCCUGAGUUUGCGGGGGGAUGAUAGAAUAUAGAAAUUGAUGUAUAGGAUGAUGACAUGUGUAAUUAGAUUAGAAGAUGUGUUAUUUAAGGCAGUUAGCCUUGUUGUUAGAAGUGUAUAAAUAUCUCAACCUCUUGUAUUACUUGGUGAUUAAGAAAUAUAUCAAGAACAUUCAUUCUCUCUCUCUUCUCUCUGAAUUGUUAUCUCUCUCUAGAAUUUCUGUAUACAAUUUCACAGAUAUAGUUACAUUCACAUUACUCACCAUCUUUCACUAUUUGGGCUAAUCCAAUGACUUACUUAGAUAUUGAAUGAAUAUGACGUCAUAGAUGUAUCUUGAAAACAAAUAAAAAUAUUCAGUGAUUUUUUUUCCGGUUACAUUAGAGUAAGCAAUUGACCAAUCCUAUUCCUAACCUAGUACCCACCAUCCUUCUUCGCCACUUGGGCUAAACCCUGACACAACAAUGUAAUAUUCUAAGCACACACGGAAUGAUAGGGAGUGUAGUUUGAACCGUAAAACCAUUAAGAAUACGAGGAAUAGUCCAAUUCUUUAUAAGCACGUGUGUUAAUCAUGCUUACCAAGCAAAACACAAUCAAGUUGGACAACUACGUCCAGGCCCAGUUAAUUCCAAUGCUAAGACUAAGCCAAUGUAGUGUUGGAUAAUACCAACAAUCAAUGACAAAUAUAUGUAUAUGUAUGUAGAAAUAAAAUUGAAUAAGCUUAUAAACAAAUAAAUGGCAACUAAGUAUAUUGACAAAGUAUAAAUAAAUGAAACUAAUAUUAAAAAGAUAAAGUAAAAAUCA
rnacentral:lncRNA from 1 species